GCGCGAAAACUUUACAAUGCCGGCAACGGCGAUAAGGGGACCUCGAGUGCCAGGUUACAAAUCUGGCUGUCGUGAUGCCUAAAAAGCAUUGCAUAGCAAGGGCCGGGCAAGACCGGUGCCAGCCGCCGCGGUAACACCGGCGGCUCGAGUGGUAACCGUUAUUAUUGGGUCUAAAGGGUCUGUAGCCGGCCGGAUAAGUCUCUUGGGAAAUCUGGCAGCUUAACUGUCAGGCUUUCAGGAGAUACGGUCUGGCUCGAGGCCGGGAGAGGUGAGAGGUACUUCAGGGGUAGGGGUGAAAUCUUGUAAUCCUUGAAGGACCACCAGUGGCGAAGGCGUCUCACCAGAACGGACCUGACGGCAAGGGACGAAAGCUAGGGGCACGAACC
rnacentral:rRNA from 1 species